rnacentral:rRNA from 1 species
UACGUAGGUGGCAAGCGUUGUCCGGAUUUACUGGGCGUAAAGAGCGCGCAGGCGGUUGGGUAAGUCGAAUGUGAAAGCCCCCGGCUCAACUGGGGAGGGUCAUUCGAUACUGUCCGACUCGAAGGCAGGAGAGGGAAGCGGAAUUCCCGGUGUAGUGGUGAAAUGCGUAGAUAUCGGGAGGAACACCAGUGGCGAAGGCGGCUUUCUGGCCUGUUCUUGACGCUGAGGCGCGAAAGCCAGGGGAGCGAACGGG